UACGUAGGGCGCAAGCGUUGUCCGGAAUUAUUGGGCGUAAAGAGCUCGUAGGCGGCUUGUCACGUCGGGUGUGAAAGCCCGGGGCUUAACCCCGGGUCUGCAUUCGAUACGGGCUAGCUAGAGUGUGGUAGGGGAGAUCGGAAUUCCUGGUGUAGCGGUGAAAUGCGUAGAUAUCUGGAGGAACACCGGUGGCGAAGGCGACAUCCUGGACCGGCAUUGACGCUGAGGCGCGAAAGCCAGGGGAGCAAACGGG
rnacentral:rRNA from 1 species